UCCCGUGUGGCUCAGUUGGUAGAGCAUGGUGUUUGCAAUGCCAGGGUUGUGGGUUCAAUUCCAAUGGGGGAC
rnacentral:tRNA from 1 species